rnacentral:tRNA from 1 species
GGGGAGAUGGCUCAGUGGUUAAGAGCACUGGCUAUUCUUCCAAAGGACCUGGGUUCAAGUCCCAGAAUCCACA